ACGGAAGGCAGCAGUGAGGAAUAUUGGUCAAUGGACGCAAGUCUGAACCAGCCAUGCCGCGUGCAGGAAUAAGGCCCUAUGGGUCGUAAACUGCUUUUGUGGUGGAGCAAUAAGUCGUACGUGUACGGCGAUGAGAGUACAUCACGAAUAAGCAUCGGCUAACUCCGUGCCAGCAGCCGCGGUAAUACGGAGGAUGCAAGCGUUAUCCGGAUUUAUUGGGUUUAAAGGGUGCGUAGGCUGUGGUCCAAGUCAGGGGUGAAAGCCCGGAGCUCAACUCCGGAACUGCCUUUGAUACUGGAUUGCUGGAAUACGGAUGCCGUGGGAGGAAUGAGUAGUGUAGCGGUGAAAUGUAUAGAUAUUACUCAGAACACCGAUUGCGAAGGCAUCUCACGAAUCCGUCAUUGACGCUGAGGCACGAAAGCGUGGGGAUCAAACAGGAUUAGAUACCCUGGUA
rnacentral:rRNA from 1 species